UGAAAUGAAGAAACGAAUAUAUAUAUUUUUUUGAUAAUAAAGCAUAUUUCAUUAAAGGAUUAAUGGAAAUCGUUCAGCACAAUUGAUAUACAUUACUGCUCUGAUGGCAGAUAAACAUGCACUAAAAUUAUAGAUCUAUAAUUUAACAAAUACAUAAGAUUUGAGAAAUUAAGGACAGAUCUAAAUAGUACCAUAAAUUUGAAAAACAUUUCAUCAUAGAAUAAGUCGCUGCAGCUCUCUUUGUGCAUGCUGUAAUCGUCAGAUCUGCUAAUCAACAGUUGUAAGAUCCAAUAAGAAUGAUGAGAUCUGUCGAGAUAGAUCCAAAUCUGAAAUAUUCCCUCAGAUCUGCUAUCCAACUGGUUCAAGCUCAAAACUGAAAGUGAGAUCUGAUGAGAAGACUGAAGAAAUUUUAGAUCUAACAUAUAGAUCUAAAAAAACUCCAAGAUCUGAGAAAAUAAAGAACAAAAAACUAAAAAAAACUCUCACUAAGAUAGUUUAGGAGAGACGAAAACUCUCAAUAGGAUACCCUAGGAGAGAAGAAAACUCUCACUAGAAUACCCUAGGAGAGACUUUAUUGAAUGGAAGGAAGAACAAAGGACAAAGGAAGAGGAAGGGAGACCUUGGCUCAAGGCCAAAAUCUCCCUCUAUGGAGGAGGAAGAGUAGAGGAGGAAACCUAGAGAGAAGGAAGAGAAUGGUUGCUGCUUCAGAUACGUAAAAUGAAGAAACGAAUAUUAGAUGCUAGAAUAAUUGUAAACGUUAUGAAAUCAAAUGACG
rnacentral:lncRNA from 1 species